rnacentral:tRNA from 1 species
GCGAACGUGGCGAAAUUGGCAGACGCGCUAGAUUUAGGUUCUAGUGGGAUAUUCUCGUGAGAGUUCAAAUCUCUCCGUUCGUA